AGGAAACACAGGUUCUUGUUCAAUCACUAAAGUUAAGCAAUGUCAAGCCUGGUUAGUACUUAGAUGGGUUACCACUUGAGAAUACCAAGAGCUGUAAG